CCUACGGGAGGCAGCAGUGAGGAAUAUUGGUCAAUGGACGCAAGUCUGAACCAGCCAUGCCGCGUGCAGGAUGACGGCUCUAUGAGUUGUAAACUGCUUUUGUACGGGAGUAAAGGCAGAUACGCGUACCUGUCUGAAAGUAUCUUACGAAUAAGGAUCGGCUAACUCCGUGCCAGCAGCCGCGGUAAUACGGAGGAUUCAAGCGUUAUCCGGAUUUAUUGGGUUUAAAGGGUGCGUAGGCGGUCUGUUAAGUUAGAGGUGAAAUCCCGAGGCUCAACUUCGGAAUUGCCUUUGAUACUGGCAGGCUAGAGAGUAGUUGAGGUAGGCGGAAUGCGUGGUGUAGCGGUGAAAUGCUUAGAUAUCACGCAGAACUCCGAUUGCGAAGGCAGCUUACCAAGCUACCUCUGACGUUGAGGCACGAAAGCGUGGGGAGCAAACAGGAUUAGAUACCCGUGUAGUC
rnacentral:rRNA from 1 species